rnacentral:rRNA from 1 species
GGUGCUGCAUGGCUGUCGUCAGCUCGUGUCGUGAGAUGUUGGGUUAAGUCCCGCAACGAGCGCAACCCUUAUUGUUAGUUGCCAUCAUUUAGUUGGGCACUCUAGCGAGAUUGCCGGUGACAAACCGGAGGAAGGUGGGGAUGACGUCAAAUCAUCAUGCCCCUUAUGACCUGGGCUACACACGUGCUACAAUGGGAAGUACAACGAGUCGCUAGACCGCGAGGUUAUGCAAAUCUCUUAAAGCUUCUCUCAGUUCGGAUUGCAGGCUGCAACUCGCCUGCAUGAAGCCGGAAUCGCUAGUAAUCGCGGAUCAGCACGCCGCGGUGAAUACGUUCCCGGGUCUUGUACACAC